UUAUAGCUACUAUCUCCAACUAAUGUUUGGUAACAUAGGAUGAUCUGCAGGAAUGCUAAGAGAAAGCUUACAUAUAAAUUAUUUUUUUAAAGUCUAGUUACAGCAUAAAAUUUUAAAAACAUUUAAAAUGAAGAAUUGUACAACAUACAAUGGUCAUAAUUUAUAAUGCCUUUCACUGACUUUUUGACCACCUCACAUCCUUCUCUUAUAAUCUGCCCAAAUUAUUAGGCAAUAAAGUAAAGAAAAUUUAAUAUUUCAAUAUGCACAGCAGGAGAUUGUGUCUUUGGUAAUGUUACUUUAAAUACUGAACAAGUUUUCUACUAUUAUCUGUUGUCCUAUUAAAUAUAUCAUUCCUCAAAUGUUAGAAUACAAAGCUGAAAUCAAACAAGAGGACAUGCUCCACUUCUGAUUCUUGAAUAAUUAUUUCUGUUCGUUAAACCCCAUCUUUAUGCUUUGACCAAUAAUACUUCUCUGCCUUGCACAGGUGAAGAUUUGUAUUAUUAAGCCGUCAAAUGAUAGGAUUCCUCAUAAUUUCACAAGGAAAGUAUUAUUAUUCAAGUCUUAUAGGUGCUAAGUUGAGGAGAAGACCGUAUAGUAUUGUGAAUAAUGCUAUUGGUUGGGGACUCAGAAAACAAAGGGUUUGAAUUCCGGGUCUGCAUAUAAUAGCUGAAUGUGUGAACUUGGACAUCCUAUUUAAUCUCUUGAAUUCUCAUUUGUUUCAUUUUAAGAUGUGAAUAUUAUUGGUACUUUCUCAUGUUGCUGUGAAUCAAAUAGAAGAUAAAUGUUUAUGAACUGAAAGUUAUGAGAAUGAAAUGAGUUAAUGCACUGCUGUAUUUUGGAGAUGGUUUAUUUGACCCCUCCAAAUCUCAUGUUGAAAUUUAACCUCCAGUGUUAGAGGUGGUACCUUAUAAAUGAUGUCCGGGUCAUGGGGGAGAGUCCUUCAUGAAUGGCUUAAUGCUGUCCUCAUAGUAACAAUUGUUUUUGCUAUGUCAAUUCCCAGAGAGCUGGUUGUUAAAAAGAGCCUGGUUCCUCCCUCUUCUCUCUCGCUUCCGGUCUUGCCUUGUGAUUACACACCAGCUCCCCUUUGCCUUUGACCAUAAGAGGAUCCAACCUGAAGCCCUCACCAGCAGCUGAUGGUGCCAUGCUUCUUGUAUGGCCUAGAAAACCCGUUCCACUCUGGCACCCAGGCUGGAGUGCAAUGACGCGAUCUCGGCCUACUGCAACCUCCACCUCCCAGGUUCAAGCGUUUCUUGUGACAGCCUCCAAAGUAGCUGGGACUACAGGGAGCAUAAUGGACCAAGGGUACCUGCUGCGCACUUUGAAGUCCAGUCUUGUGUUGCCACUGAGGCCAUGCCUACCAAGGGGUAGUUCCUACCAAUGGUAAAGUGAGACAGGGUCUUACCCGAUCACUCAGACUGGAGUACAGUGGUGCAAUCAUGGCUUAUUGUCGCCUCAGCCUCCUGGACUCAAGCAAUCUUCUCACCUCAGCCUUCCGAGUAGCAGGGACUACAGUUUGCACUGGAGAAUCUAAACUCUUCUGGAGAUGUCCCAAGGCCUAACCUGCACCUCUUCACAGCAUAGGCAAGAAAAUUCUAUCUGACCUUUCUGCCGGGAGGAGGGAAUGUUUAGGCAAAAAUGAGUAACCUAUGAAAUCAGCCACCAGCAUGGCUGUGUCACUGUGGUGCUCCCACAACAACUUGAAGCAUUUUUCAUAUUAAACUUAAUAGCUGACCUGUCUACCCCCUAGCCUGUGAGAUCCUUCAGGGAAGGACUUUCCCUCAUGUUUCACUCACCUCUAUCACUCUAACAACUAGGGCAGGAUAGUAGGGGAGACAAUCAGUAAAUAUUUGUGGACCUGAAUAUGAGUAGAGGGCACUCAAGGAACAGCAAAGGCUUAGAAGUAUCAUAAACUUCAUGUGUCCAGGAGGGAAAGAACAAAAUUUAGUGCAGACAUUUUUACAUCUAAGUCAAAUGUGAAACAUUUUUCAAGCACAAAAUGUUAUAUACAUUCCUCUUCCUCUUCCCAUCCCUAAGUUUCACCUUAUUCCUGCUCCUUACCCUGUCUUUGGACUCUUCUAUCUCAGAGUCUGAUUUCUCCCAGUACCUCAGCCCUUCCUUUCCCUCUCCCCAAUCUUCACCCCACCCUGAAGGGUCAUGGAUGUGUUGAGGUCAAGAUGAGGUGAAGCUCACUGAGGGAGGAAAGAUAAUUGGGCAUCCAGGCAACAGCAAAAACUGACAGCUCAAUGGUUCAAUGUUUACAGCAAAAUGUCCCAGAAUCAAAAUGAUCACCUCAAAAUAUAUAUUCAUAGAACAAUGGCCUAGUUUAUAAUAUCACUUGCAUGAUAUGGAAAAGCAGGAGAAAAGGUUGAAGUGUUAAGAGAUGGUCAGAUAUUAGUGUAGAAAUUUUGUCAGGCAUCAGUAGGGAAACAGAGAGGCUUUUGAGCAGUAAAAUUAGAACAUCACUAUGAAAGAAGGAUUUAAGUGUCAUACAGCAUAUUCAGCCUAGCUUAGAAAAGAAAAGCCCAUAUUCUGGGGCUCCAGUUAAAAGAUUACUGCAGCUCUUCAGAGUAAGGUAAUGUGAGGCCUAAAGGAGAAGAGCCCCAGAAGUAUGAAAGGGGGUGAUGACCAACUGGGCUUGGCAGAUAGCAAAAGGCUCAAAAAGUUGACCCUAAGUUUUGGAUCAUAAAUGCCUGGAAGAAUAUCUUACCUAUUGACAAGGAGCCAUUUUGAAGAGAAAAAUGUUGUUUGAGAAUAUUAAUUUUGAAAUGAUAAGAGAUAUCCAAGUGGAAAUACACAGGAGGGCAGGAAGGCAUCAAAAUUUCGAAGGGUGUGCCACCAGACCUUGAUUAAUGUGUAAAAUUUACUUAGCUCUAACAGAGGCCCAUAUGAUUAUGUCUGUUAGAGGAAGUGUCAAAACAAGAGUGCCUAUCAUGUGAUAGACAGCAGGUAGCCAGUGAAUGAGGGAAAGAUGAGGUAAGAGGUAUAAUCUUUAUGUAAAAAUGGGGGGCUUAACUGGGAUUCAAGAAAUCUUUUCCUCAUAAGUAUGUAAGUGUAAUAAGAUGUCAAGCGAUGUCUAUCUUGUAAUUGUGAUUAAAGGCAAUGGCUGAGAAGAACCUCAUAUUCUAAGAGAGAAGCUGGACAUAUCUCAGGACUUGCCAAAAGGCAGCAAAGAAAUGAGACUACAGAACGUACCAUUGGAUCAGGAGCUGAGAGGGAAAUAAUGAGAGAGAGUAGGUUAACAGUGCAUCUAUGGGGCUAGGAAAGGUCCCAGCAGAACUCUAAAGGACCCACAAAAGCACUCCCAUAGAGCACAAAAUAUCCUCAGAGCACACCAGAACUGGAUAGCAAUAGCACUCUUCAUGGAUGAACCCUUUUUCCCCUUUGCCUCUUCAUUUCCCUGUCCCAACCUGGUGUUACCAAGAGUAACAUAUUGAGGGAGAGGAGAAUAGUAUGUUGCAGCAGUGAAGAAGUGGGCUUUAUCAAUUUCUUAACUGCUAAUCUAUAGAAUUCUUGGGUCAUGGCAUACUAAGACAGAGAGGAACCUAACAUUGUAGGAGAGAUUGGAUGUCGUUGUAGAUUUAUUUUUAAUAUUUGAAAUGAUUCUAUUCUGUUAUUAGUCAGAUAUGGCUAGAAAAGCUAUUGAAUUGGUCUGAGAGUACAGAGAAUAGAGAUCUGGCAGAAUGGCUUGAGGGCAGCAGUGGAUGAAAAAAAACCCUGACUUUAUUGUAUCCUACUUAGUUCAGCUCAUUCAACAACAGAAGCAAGAAAGGUCAGGGCAGUGAAUAUUUCUACUCACAUAGUGACAUAAAGCUUAAGGGAAAUCGGUGAGUGGUGUAAUAAUUGGGUAAAUUUCUUUUUUCAAUUUACAAAAAUUUUUAAAUCAGUAUUGAACUUUUAAUCCCUUCGUGUAUGUUUUAAGUUAUGUCAAAGUAUGUUGCCAACAAAAAUGUUUAGAGAAUCACUGUGGAAGGGAGUAGGAGACAUGGAACUAGAAAUGGGUGGGAUACUGAGGCUAAGCAGUUUUUUAAAAUCAUCAGUACAGAGGUGAGUGAGAGGACCUUUCCCUUAACAAAGAAAUAAUGAGAGAGCAGGUGAAGAGUGCAUCUCUGGGACUAGGAAAGGUCCCUACAGGAGAACUCUGAAGGACCCACAAAAGCACUCCCACAGAGCACAAAGUGUCCACAUAUUCCUAGGUCACCCCCAAAGUACUUGCCUGCUACUACACAAAGACAAGGCUCAAUGGCACCUUCUUCCUUUAUCCCAACUUGAAUUAACUGUUUUCAGCUACUACCUUUAGGUAGAAGUUAAUCAUAUAACCUUAUCCUUAGGUCACUGUUCUAAAGGUGGCUCUUUUGAAAGACUUUGCAAAAAUUCAUACAUUUCAAUAAAUGUUGAGGUUUUUCUAGGCCCAAUCAAUCCAAGAGCCUGGGGGAAAAAUUUUAUUUAAAGUAUGUCAAUUUGGAAAUUUUUGUAGGUUAAUAGUAGUUCUGCAAAGGCCAGGUCUUCUUGGUCUUUGGAGAAAAUUCACCAUUACAUUAAAUUCCCUACACCUCUGUUUCUUCAUUGAAAGAAAGAUGUAUUAAUACAAUUGGCCCUGUGUAUCCAUGAAUUCCAUAUCCAUGUAUUUAACCAACCACAGAUUGAAAAUAUUUGGGAAAUAAUAAAAUACACAAAUUAAAAACAAUACAGCAUAACAAGUAUUUCCAUAGCAUUUGCAUUGUACUAGGCAUUAUAAAUAAUCUAGAGAUUUAAAGCAUAGAGGAAGAUUUGCAUAAGUUAUAUGCAGUACUACAUUAUUUAAUAUAAGGGACUUUAGCAUUGUUGGAUUUUGGUAUUUGCCAGGGUAGGGGGUGGUGUUACUAGAACCAGUCCCCCAGGGAUACCAAGGGACAACUGUACUUAACAAGUUUGUGGAAGGAUUGAAUAAAAUAAUGUAUAUCAUUGCUACACGGUUUCAGAUGAUUUGGAGUCCCCAUACCUUUCCAACUUUAUCUUAUACCAUCUUUUUCCUUUGCUCAUUAUCCUCCUGGAACUUUAGCUGUCUUGCUCUUGGUCAGACACACAAAGCUAUUUUCCACCUCAGGGCUGUUCCAUGUGUUGUCUCUCUACAUGUAAUUUUUUGUUCCUAACCACUAGGCUACUAGGGAACAUAUAAUUUUAUGACUUCAGCUCUUUGCUCCCUCUUGUCUCUCAGCUCAAAUGUUACCCUCUCAAAGAGGUCUUCCCUGGCCUUCUACCUAAAGUUGCUUUUGCUGGAUAUUUGGUAUCUCAUAACCUUGCUUAUAUCUCUCCUAACAUUGUUUUACGACCUAAUUAUUUUGUCCAUUUAUGUAUUUGCUUCACUAUUUCUGGUCUCCUCACACUGGAUUUCAAGAUCUUUG